UACGUAGGGUGCGAGCGUUAAUCGGAAUUACUGGGCGUAAAGCGUGCGCAGGCGGUUAUACAAGACAGGCGUGAAAUCCCCGGGCUUAACCUGGGAAUGGCGUCUGUGACUGUAUGGCUAGAGUGUGUCAGAGGGGGGUGGAAUUCCACGUGUAGCAGUGAAAUGCGUAGAUAUGUGGAGGAACACCAAUGGCGAAGGCAGCCCCCUGGGAUAACACUGACGCUCAUGCACGAAAGCGUGGGGAGCAAACAGGAUUAGAUACCCUGGUAGUCCACGCCCUAAACGAUGCUGACUAGUUGUUGGGAAUUUACAUUCUCAGUAACGUAGCUAACGCGUGAAGUCAGCCGCCUGGGGAGUACGGUCGCAAGAUUAAA
rnacentral:rRNA from 1 species